UCGGGAAUUUUGGGCAAUGGGCGAAAGCCUGACCCAGCAACGCCGCGUGAAGGAUGAAGUCUCUCGGGAUGUAAACUUCGUAAGAAUAGGAAGAAUAAAUGACGGUACUAUUUGUAAGGUCCGGCUAACUACGUGCCAGCAGCCGCGGUAAUACGUAGGGACCAAGCGUUGUUCGGAUUUACUGGGCGUAAAGGGCGCGUAGGCGGCAAUUCAAGUCAUCUGUGAAAUCUCCGGGCUUAACUCGGAACGGUCAGAUGAUACUGCUUUGCUAGAGUGCAGAAGGGGCAAUCGGAAUUCUUGGUGUAGCGGUGAAAUGCGUAGAUAUCAAGAGGAACACCUGAGGUGAAGACGGGUUGCUGGGCUGACACUGACGCUGAGGCGCGAAAGCCAGGGGAGCAAACGGGAUUAGAUACCCCCGUAGUCCCUGAGCGGGCUGGCAAGGCGCAU
rnacentral:rRNA from 1 species